rnacentral:rRNA from 1 species
UACGGAGGGUGCAAACGUUGCUCGGAAUCAUUGGGCGUAAAGCGCACGUAGGCGGCGCGUUAAGUCGGAUGUGAAAGCCCCGGGCUCAACCCGGGAAGUGCAUACGAAACUGGCGCGCUUGAAUAUGGAAGAGGGUCGCGGAAUUCCCGGUGUAGAGGUGAAAUUCGUAGAUAUCGGGAGGAACACCAGUGGCGAAGGCGGCGACCUGGGCCAAUAUUGACGCUGAGGUGCGAAAGCGUGGGGAGCAAGCAGG